CUCCCACUAAACGAAUCAUCCUAAUGGCUAUAAUGGCCAAAAUGUUCUUAGUGUAAGUAAGAGGCCAAAUGUUGACCGCAUGGACAAAGAACAUUAAAAAAGAACAUUAAAAUUUCAUAAAGGAAAUAUCUGAAGUGAAAGAUGUAUUUUUGGAGAUGGCAAUUUCCAACGAACUUUUGAUCCAACAUUUGAGUGAAAUCUGCGACUUGCGAUCAAAGAGCAAGUUCUUAGCCAACAAGCCGAUGGGCAAACUCUCAACCCCAACCUUGAUUCUCAGUCGCAAGAGGAAAAUUCUCAUGUGGUUGCAAGUCGGCCACCCAUUCCACCUACUCCUCUAGAGGAAAGUAAGGUUAGUAGGGAAUAUGAGAAUGAGAAAGAGAUGGGCGAGACGACCUUAGGAUCAAAUGUUCAAGUCGACCGUCCUAUUGAGAGCCUAACAUUGGUUGAGGAAAAGGAGUCCACCCAAGGGGAUGAGACCUAAAAGAUGGUCACCGAUGAA
rnacentral:lncRNA from 1 species